rnacentral:tRNA from 1 species
UCUUGGUUAGCUCAGUUGGUAGAGCGCUCCACUGGAAAUGGGAGAGGUCCCAAGUUCGAUACCAGGACCUGGCG